rnacentral:tRNA from 1 species
AGCCUCAUAGUUCAGGUGGUUAUAGAGUUAACUGUACAUAAGUCUUGCACUUGCAGUCGUGGGUUCGAAUCCCACCGAGGCCA